rnacentral:rRNA from 1 species
AUACGGAGGAUGCAAGCGUUAUCCGGAUUUAUUGGGUUUAAAGGGUGCGUAGGCGGUUUGCUAAGCGGGAGGUGAAAUGCAGGCGCUCAACGUCGGAAGUGCCUCCCGAACUGGUGGACUGGAAUGACUCUGCCGUGGGAGGAAUGUGUAGUGUAGCGGUGAAAUGCUUAGAGAUUACACAGAACACCGAUUGCGAAGGCAUCUCACGAAGGGUUGAUUGACGCUGAGGCACGAAAGCGUGGGGAUCAAACAGGAUUAGAUACCCUGGUAGUCCACGCAGUAAACGAUGAUGGCUAACCGCUGGUUUAUUCGGAUCAGUGGCCAAGCGAAAGCGAUAAGCCAUCCACCUGGGGAGUACGACCGCAAGGUUGAAACUCAAAGGAAUUGACGGGG